AUACCCAAAUUCCUCUUUGCAGCUCCCAGGCAGCUGUGCCCACUGCCUGGGAAGGCAGGUGCUCUGCCUGGCUGGGCACAGGAGCCUUGGGCUCUGCAGCUGAGCCUGAUCUGCAGAGCUGAGGGAGGUGCUGGGUUCAAUCCUGACAGGCCCAGGCAGUGGGGCUGAGUGCCUUGAAGUGGCAAAGAGGAAAGUCUGGGUGUUUCUGUGGUCAUGUAAAAGCUGAAAGAAGGAUUUUUUGAGCUGUGUCCUUGGCUUUGCAACAAAAUUUGGCUUAAAUUCUUUGUUGCAUCAAUUCCUCACUCUUGGUCACAGUGCAGCUCCCUUCCCUCGCUUCACAUUGGUGUUUUCAUGCUUCUUAGAAGUGCAUUUUUUCUUCAUUACUUGUCUGACUGAUUUCCUGGGCAUUUUUUUUGUUCCUUGUUUGGGACCUCCCACUUUGUCCUCUCCUAUUCCGUGUGAUGACAGCAUGAAUUCUUCUGGUGUGAAUGUUUCUGUGAAUAUAAAUUCUCACCAGCUUUUGCAAUGCUUCAUGUGUGCCAACAUCCACGGAAAGUGUAGAGCCGGGGUAGCAAAUGCUGCCACACAAUCUUCAUUCGAACAAAAUCAUGAAGAAGAUUGUGGGAGAUGUCUAUAUCUGGCUCUAGUUUAUCUGAGCAUCUGCUAGGAGAAUGGGACUGUCCAAAAGCAGACAUCAUUAUUAAUGAAACUCAGGAUUUGUAUGGGUUAGCUGAAUUUCACAACUCUUUCCAAAUAGUGAGGAAAAAUAUUUAGGCCUGAUAAUAAGUAAUAAAUCCAGAUGUUUUUAAAGAAGAUGAAUGUAUAGCCACUGGUUGUAGAUAAAUGUUGGGGUGUUUUUAACAAAGCUGUUUAAAGAAGGGUAUAAAUUAUUUCAGUAGUUUUGGACUACUGGUCCUAAGCUGCUAUCUGAAAUUCUAGUUCACAUGUUCCAGCAAGGCUUUUGCUUAGAGGAUGCAAGAAGCAGCAUCCAAUGUUUGUUUUUUCUCUGACCUACUGCUGAGUAAUUGAAUCAUCCCAAGCAUCAAGCUAAUGUUUUUCCUCCCUAGGAGAACAUAAUGUUACAGGGAAAAGGAGAACAGGGAAAAAAUCAAAAAGGCAGCUGCAGGUAUCUAUUCCAAAUGCCAUACAGUGUGUAUCUAAGACUAGGAAAGAGCAUUUUGGAGCUGAAUAAAGAUGAGCAUGGCUGAUGGUGGUGAGCCCCAGUCUCCUCUGGGGUCUAGGAGGGUGCAGCAGUCCUGGCUGAUGGCAUGUAAAUGCAGAUGGGCCAACCCAAAAAUAUAGGGCUUCACUUUUGGUAUAUUUUUUAACACUCCCAGGGUAGAGAUCUGCAUUAUUGAUGCUCAGAGCUGCCAGAACACCAGUUCAACAGACUGGCUAUUGCAAACAAGAUGCUGAAAGAGGACAGCCUGGGAUCAUUCUGACUCUGAGGACCCAAACAAGUAUCCAUCUCUGAGUGAUGUGGAUGGGCUAACUGCUUUGGGCCAGGCCUUGCUGUUGUGGUGUUGUCUCACAAGAGGAGUAUCUUUGGGAAGAAGGAUGGAGAGGAAGCUGCCAAACCAUGGCAGGCUGCAUUAGCAAGAGCAGAGGCAGCACAGUUCCCCUUCCACAUGAGAUCAAGAGACUUGAGCUGUACAGAAGACCCCAGAGUGCCGAGAGACAGCACAACCGGGCAGGAAGCCUGGAGACUUCAAUUUCACAGAUAGGGCUUGCCUGUGGCUUUUCACAGCCUAUAUCACAUGUGCAUUGUCCCUUGGAGAGUAUAGAAGGAAAAGGAAAGAAAUACAAUUAGUUAAAUAAAGCAAGAGUUUCCUGCAUGUCUGGUGUUUGCUGCUUCCAUGGACAAGGUGCUGGGGCCCCAGCAAGCAUUUUUGAUUUUGCAAAGAGAUAUUGUGUUUUGUGCAAAAUAGGUGUCUUUUGAAUGUUUGGUUUCUGAAAAAAAGAUUAAAUUUUAGAUUUUUUGGUUGUUGAAA